UUUUCCUAAUAGGCGCUAUCCUCAAUGGUGUGGCGAUGAAUCUUGGCGUUCUCAUCCUUGGUCGGCUUCUACUUGGUGUUGGCAUUGGUUAUGCCAAUCAGUCGGUACCAGUUUACCUAUCGGAAAUGGCACCAGCUAAGCUGAGAGGAGCGCUCAACGUGUGUUUCCAAAUGGCGGUCACAAUUGGCAUAUUGAUUGCAAAUUUGGUAAACUAUGGUACCGCUACCAUGAAGAAAAACGGAUGGAGAGUGUCCCUUGUGCUCGCAGCUGUACCUGCUAUUAUCAUGACCGUAGGAACUGUUUUCCUACCGGACACACCUAAUUCAUUAAUCGACAGAGGACAGAAAGAGCAAGCGAAAGC
rnacentral:lncRNA from 1 species